rnacentral:tRNA from 1 species
ACUUUUAAAGGAUAAUAGCAAUCCACUGGUCUUAGGAACYACC